GUUAUUCGGAUUCACUGGGCGUAAAGGGUGCGCAGGCGGCCAAGUGUGUUAGGCGUGAAAGCCCGAGGCUUAACCUCGGAAUUGCACCUAAAACUACAUGGCUAGAGUACUGGAGAGGGUAACGGAAUUCACGGUGUAGCAGUGAAAUGCGUAGAUAUCGUGAGGAACACCAGAGGCGAAGGCGAUCACCUGGGGUUGUUCUGACGCUGAGACACGAAAGCGUGGGUAGCAAGCAGG
rnacentral:rRNA from 1 species